AAGAUCAUCAAGUUGAAAGCUGAAAUAGCUUUGUGAAUAUAUGUGAAUAUAUUACAGCUACCACUGAACUCUGAAGUUUAUGGACUCCUGACUCUUCUUAUGGACUGGAUCUCAGACGAGCACCUUAGCAUACUCAAAAGGCAAGACAGGACAGUGUGUAGCCUUAGUCCAGUGGAAGAACCUACAUCCAGGAUAAGUGUUUGAAGGACCUGACCAAUGAGUGUUUGCACAUGCGAUCUGAUAACUCCAAAAGUAAUCUGAGAUUUUGGCUUUGCUUGGUUUGUUUGGGUUUGGUUUCUGGAGGCUUGUUUUCACUUGUAGUCUGCUCAUAUGCUAAGCUGACAUUCUGCACGUAACUUUGCCUCUGUGUGUUUUUGCAGCUUCUGCAUGUGGCUGUGGAGCACAGAGUCCCCAGUUCUUCUUGUAGGAUACUAUUUGUGGCUGGGUUAAUUUCUGCCUGCAUACACAUUAAGUGCAUCCAAAGACUUCAGAUUUCUAAACUGCAAGCCUCUCUCUCAGUUCUGAACUGCAGUUGUGAUACAUAAAGUGAAAAGCAGGCUGUUGUUACCAACAACUGACCCCGGGCUGGACCCCGUCCAGAAUGGACCCCAUCUGGAGAGAGACACAGUCAUGGAUGCCAUGGAGUCUUCUCUCAAUUUAAUGCUGUGUCACACGGUUUAUAUACUAGCAUGUCGUCCACACAUGUGUAUCCCGUACAUCUGCUACACAACCCCACACACACAUGACUCUUCCCACUCCCAGAGUCCUCCCUUGCAUAAAUCAUGUCAUCACAGAGCAUCUGGUAAAGCACUUCUUCAUAUCCCCAUUCCACGGUUCCACUUCAGCUGCUUUGGCUGUUUGGCUUAGCAGUUCUUCAUUCAGGCCCAUCCCACAGUUGACCUUAUUCCCCAGCAGAGGCAGACUGUUUUUCACAGUGGGGGCUGCCUCUUGCUCUAUUUUUGCACUGCAUCUAUAUAUUUGAGGAUCUGGAUCUAAGUGCCUCUUUAGUAUCACAGAAAAAUACUCUGUUGGAGCCAAGAAUCAAGUUGAGGACUCUCCAAACUUAGAUCAAUUAUUAAUCUAUAAAUACUUCCAAGAGUACCAGUUUCAUACUACACACAGGUUCAUAUCUUAAGUAAUUUACUUUGGACUUACUGUAGUAACACAUUAUGUGAAAUGGUUUAUAUUCUCUUGGCCUUACUCCUUACAUUUUCAUUUUAAUUCUGCCAGAUUUCUUCCAUACUCAAAAAACAUUUGAGUAUAAUCAAUUUAUUAUUAUUAUUAUUUUAAUUAGAACAUACAGUCUCUACAAGAAAUUCUCUUUCUUCAACAUCACUAAUUAGGUCCCCUUUCUAGUAACUACAGCCCCUGUAAAAACUACAUUGGUUAUCCCUGCAGCCAGGUAGCUUUUGCAGAUAUUCAAAAGAAUAGAAAAAUUAAUAGCUCUUAUUUUCAAUAACAGGCCAGUUAUCUUCUAAGAUGCAUGCUGUGAUCUAGGAGUUGAGACCAUACUUUUUAAAUGAAGAUUUAACUGAGCAAAUCUUAGAUGACCAAUCUCUUCUGAACAUUCAGAGGAAAUCCUGAAUAUCCCUUUAGUUGACUCUGGGCUUUUCAUUCUUUGUUACAGCAUAUUGGAGAACACAGAAAUUUGCCCACUAGUCAGGAGAGCACAUGCAAUUCUACAGAACAAUGAUCAUUACCUUCUGGUCUUAGUGCCAUGAGCAAUGUAUGGAGGAGGACUUCAGUUUCUCUUGGGUUGAACUGGCAGUCUCAAUCUGUGGGCUCAGGCUCAGGGUAACUUAAGACCUCAUGAACUUUGAUAUAUUACCAUUUUCAUGAGUUUUGUUUGUUUGUUUCCUUUUUUCCCUUAAAAAAAAACAUAUUUUUUAAAUUCUAAUUUUGGUUUGUCCAUGGCUACCGUAAAGCCCGCACUAGGAAGGCUUAUCACACAUCACACCAGUUACAUAGGGGAAAAUAUAUCUGUGAGAGUUUGCUCAUUCCCCAGGGCUGACUGGCACAGGCUGAUCUGUCAUUGCCCCAGCCACAAGGACUGCCACAGUUCUGGGCAAACAGCUGACACAAGUCACAGGUAUAGCACAGCCAGCUUGCAAGACAUCACCAAACCUAGGGAGUGAGUAACAGAGUGGACAGUGAGAUUAAAGGAAAGAUGGAGAGGGGGUGAAAUAAAGGGACCUGCCUCCCAGACUAAACCCAAAAGCAACAAAUACGGACAACAAGAAAACAAAGAUAAUUAUGUGCCUUUUCAAUAUAUUAUUAUUAUUAUUAUUAUUUCACUGAAUAAACAUUACUCCUUGGUAGCUCAGAGGAGGCCAUAAAAAUCAUAGGACAAUUGUGAAGCAGGAACGUUGUCUCAGUAUAGUGUCCUGACACAAAGCGGCCAACAUCAUAGAAUCAUAGAAACAUAGAAUAACCAAGGUUGGAAAAGACCUACAGGAUCAUCCAGUCCAACUGUCCACCUAUCACCAAUAGUUCUCAUUAAACCAUGUCCCCCCAACAGUGUCUAAACCAACAGUGUCUUUCUUGGGCACCUCCAGUGUUAGUGACUUCACCACCUCCCUGGGCAGCCCAUUCCAGUGGCUGACCACUCUUUCAGAGGAGCAGUAUUUCCUAACCUCCAACCUAAAUCUCCCUGGUGCAACUUGAGGCCAUUCUCUCUAGUCUUACUGCUAGUCACAUGAGAGAAGAGGCUGACUCCCACCUCACUGUAGCAUCCCUUCAGGUAGUUAUAGAUCUAGAUACAUAUAGUUAUAUAAUUAUGUAGUUAUAUAGUUACAGAUAUGUUGUUCAGAGGAAGAUGCAACAAAAUCUUAUUUUAUAUUCUUAAGAGACUAUACCUGAAGAAAAGCUCUUUUGUAAUGGCCAAUUGCUGGCAGCUGGCUCAUGACAGUGGUUGCUCUUAUGUUCCAGAUAAUCAUUGCUACAAUCUUAGCAUUGCUUCAGAAUGAAGGAUUCCACAAUUUACCCAAGUUACCCAUCACAAUUCACCUGCAAGAUGCUCAUGCCCUGCCAAUGGAGAUUUGUAAUAGACAGGCAAGUUAUGGCCAUAUCAAAGCAACACCAAGCUUCUUUCUGUGUACACCCAAUAACUGCAAUCAGGCAUAGUACUGGUUGUCACAUUUGCCAAAAUGCAGUCCUAAUGCUGCAUGACCACACUUCUUACUGUAACUACACGCUUUAUUUUUCCAGACAUUAGAAAGUUUCAUAAUAUUCUCUAGGGUCUGUUUUCACUUAAAAAGAAUUACCAAACUCAGAAUAUGCCUUGCGGAAAAAAAAGGCUCCUGUGGUAAUACAAGAACAAUUUUACAGAGCAGCAGCUAUGGAGCAGGAUAAACAGCAUGAGAACCAAGGACAUCUCUAGGAAAAGAAUGAAUGGCUCACAGCUUUGAAGGGGGGUUUUAGGGUUGUUACUGCAGUAGCUUUCCUUCAGUUAAUUUGUCUGCUAUAAAAGUAUGGCUUUUGGGGCAAUAAAGUUGACUCAGCUAUAUCUAACCA